rnacentral:rRNA from 1 species
UAAUACGUAGGGUGCGAGCGUUAAUCGGAAUUACUGGGCGUAAAGCGUGCGCAGGCGGCGCCGCAAGUCGAGUGUGAAAUCCCCGAGCUUAACUUGGGAAUUGCGCUCGAAACUACGGUGCUGGAGUGUGGCAGAGGGAGGUGGAAUUCCACGUGUAGCGGUGAAAUGCGUAGAGAUGUGGAGGAACACCGAUGGCGAAGGCAGCCUCCUGGGCCAACACUGACGCUCAUGCACGAAAGCGUGGGGAGCAAACAGGAUUAGAUACCCUGGUAGUCCACGCCCUAAACGAUGAUGACUAGUUGUUGGGGGAGUUAAAUCCCUUAGUAACGCAGCUAACGCGUGAAGUCAUCCGCCUGGGGAGUACGGUCGCAAGAUU